rnacentral:piRNA from 1 species
UGUAUUUUAUCCAUAUUGUAA